rnacentral:rRNA from 1 species
CAGUCGCCGCGGUAAUACGAAGGGUGCAAGCGUUACUCGGAAUUACUGGGCGUAAAGCGUGCGUAGGUGGUGGUUUAAGUCCGUUGUGAAAGCCCUGGGCUCAACCUGGGAAUUGCAGUGGAUACUGGGUCACUAGAGUGUGGUAGAGGAUAGUGGAAUUUCCGGUGUAGCAGUGAAAUGCGUAGAGAUCGGAAGGAACAUCUGUGGCGAAGGCGACUAUCUGGGCCAACACUGACACUGAGGCACGAAAGCGUGGGGAGCAAACAGGAUUAGAUACCCCAGUAGUCCUUGUCUCUUAUAC